GCCACAGCGUACCGUGGCUACAGGUGUACACGGGGCACAGCGCACCGUGGCUACAGGUAUACACGGGGCACAGUGCACCGUGGCUACAGGUGUACACGGGACACAGCGCACCGUGGCUACAGGUGUACACGGGGCAUAGUGUACUGUGGCUACAGGUGUACACGGGGCACAGCGUACCGUGGCUACAGGUGUACACAGGGCAUAGCGUACCGUGGCUACAGGUGUACACGGGACACAG